rnacentral:rRNA from 1 species
CCUACGGGCGGCAGCAGUGGGGAAUAUUGCACAAUGCGGGAAACACUGAUGCAGCGACGCCGCGUGAGUGACGAAGUCUUUCGGUAUGUAAAGCUCUAUGAGCAGGGAAGAAAAUGCCAGUACCUGACCAAGAAGCCCCGGCUAACUACGUGCUAGCAGCCGCGGGAAUACGUAGGGGGCGAGCGUUAUCCGGAUUGACUGGGGGUAAAGUGGACGUAGGCGGUUUUGUAAGUCUGGAGUGAAAGCCUGGGGCUCAACCUCGGGACUGCUUGGGAAACUGUGUAACUGGAGUACGGGAGGGGAUGGCAGAAUUCCUGGUGUAGCGGUGAAAUGCGUAGAUAUCAGGAGGAACACCGGCGGCGAAGGCGGCCAGCUGGAUGGAAACUGACGUUGAGGUGCGAAAGCGUGGGGAGCAAACAGGAUUAGAUACCCUAGUAGUC